CUAUAACCAUCGUUGGCGGCAGGGCCUAAAGGCGGGAGAAGGGAGAAGAAGUUCAGCCGUGUAAGGUGCGCUGCUGGCAGAGAUCACGCGUUGGGUGCGGGGCCUCAGGUGUGGAGUCAUGACCGACAGCUCACCGUAACAGCUGGACUACAUAUCAACAACUGUUUCAGUCAGCGCAGAAAGUGACCCACAUUCCCUAAAAGUUGCCUGACCGCCAGCUGCCGUCUCUGGCUCUUCGAGACCCUCUUCCUGCAUUCAUUUUCAAGUCAACACAAACAACAGCAGGACUAUAUAAAACACAGCGCUGACCAACACAUUUCCACUCCAGGAAUAGAACUGAAACUGCAAACCAGCCUUAGGGGUCAGUAAAUCACUCUCUGACCUCUCUGACCUCUGGGUGGAGAUACAGAUUAGUAUUUUUUUUUUUAAAUAAUCAAUGAUCCACAUGACCUCUUAGUUUUUGUUACACAUCUGCAUUAGAAAAUCUUUAUUUGUGUCUGAGUUUGA